UCAAAAAAAGGUCACCAUUUUUCGUCCUCCACCUCCUUUCCUCGAAAUCUCUAAAAUCUUCCUUUUUUGCUUUAUCAAUUUCUCAAUUGCUUUGCCCUAAUUUUCUCCCCCUUUCACAAAUCCAUCAGCAAAUCGACUGAUUCUCGGGAAAAUCCAGAGAGAAAAUCGAAAGAGAAAGAAUUCCAGCUGAUAUAUGGAGAGGAUCGUCGGAGAGAGGUACAAGUUAGGUCGCAAAAUCGGAAGUGGAUCGUUCGGUGAAAUUUUUCUUGCUACUCAUAUCGAGACGGGUGAAACUGUCGCGGUAAAGAUUGAAAACAGGCAGACAAAACAUCCUCAAUUGCUAUAUGAAGCCAAGCUGUAUAAUAUUCUUCAAGGAGGAAGUGGCAUUGCUCACAUAAAAUGGUGUGGAGUAAAUGGCGAAGAUAAUGUGCUUGUUCUUGACUUGCUGGGACCAAGCCUGGAAGACUUAUUUGUCUACUGUGGGAGAAAGUUUUCAUUGAAAACAGUCUUAAUGUUGGCUGAUCAAAUGAUUGCAAGAAUAGAAUUUAUGCAUGCUAAGGGGUUUCUGCAUAGAGACAUCAAACCAGAUAAUUUCCUCAUGGGUCUUGGCAGGAAAGCAAAUCAGGUCUACAUAAUUGACUUUGGUCUUGCCAAAAGAUAUCGUGAUCCCAACACAAAUAGACAUAUUCCUUACAGGGAGAAUAAAAAUUUAACAGGAACUGCACGUUAUGCUAGUUGCAAUACUCAUCUUGGAAUUGAGCAAAGCCGUCGGGAUGAUUUGGAAUCACUUGGCUAUGUUCUUUUGUAUUUCUUGAGGGGAAGUCUUCCUUGGCAGGGUCUAAAGGCUGCUACAAAGAAGCAGAAGUAUGAUAAAAUAUGUGAGAAGAAGUUAUCAACGCCAAUAGAGGUCUUGUGCAAGUCGCACCCUGUGGAGUUUGCAUCAUACUUUCACUAUUGCCACUCUUUAACAUUUGAUCAGAGGCCUGAUUAUGGAUUCUUGAAGCGUUUGUUUCAAGAUUUGUUUACCCGAGAAGGUUAUGAGUCUGAUUACAUAUUUGACUGGACAAUUCUAAAGUACCAGCAGACACAAAGGACAAAGACACAUCCUCAAUCAUCUGAUGUGCAGCCUUUUUCUGGAACAAGAAACAGCCAAGCAAUGACUACAGAUAAGCUUAAAGGAAUCAAGGAUGCUUCUUAUUCAGGUGAAGUUAUGGAGCACAGAGGACCAAGUAACCUUGGUCGUCCAGAUGUUCGUAUGCAGUUUAGACCAUCGGUUAAUCAAAAUAUGGGUGAGAAACAUAUGGGGAGCAAUACAGCAAUACCUUCCACUUCAUUUGCUCGUUCUGGUGCCUUGAAAAAGAGUCAACCCAAAGCAGAGGGGCCAACUGAAGCUACAAAUAAUGGCCGUGGACAUGGGAACAAAACUGGUGCUUCAAGCAGCUGGAUGCCAUCAUUCCAUAGAAUAUCUUCAACUAAGUGAUUGGUACAGCUUUGAAUUGUAGAGAGCCCAGAGCUGGUGUUUCAAGUAUCAUGGAGUUUGGACUUUGGAUAGCUCAAGAUUUUUGUGGAGAGAUGGCAGAUCGUAUCACUAUUAUAUGCUUUCCAUGAGGUGACCAUGAGAGAGCAAAUAUAUGGGAUUGUGCUGGAGUGUGGUCCAUCAAGCCUGGUUUUUUUCUGCAUGCAUGGGGACAAUGGUUAAGCCAGUUUCGUGUUUAAUUGUUCGAUGGAUGAUGUGAUGCAUUUGCUUUCUUUUCUCAUUACUUCAUAAAUUUGGAUCAAAGCCCUGGAUGUUUACCUUGAUCAAUUUGAAUCUAGGUGCCCGCGUCCUCCAGAAUCUGAAAAAGUACUGUAGUGUAGAGUUUCAGGUACUCGUACAAUCUUUGGAUGUCAGAAGAAUUUAAUUGAUCAAUAGCAGUCACUGCUAAAAUUGAAGUGAUAUGAAGAUAUUUUUGUAAAUAUACAUUUGGAGUAUCAAUCUCGGAGGUUUAUACCUCAGAUGAUUGAGGUAGAGUGAAUGAAGAGCCAUGGCCGAUAGUAUAGGUGAAGCUGUCAAGGGGGAUAGAAUCACAGGCAACGAUGCUUGCCUUCGGAUACCACUGAGGUACUGUGGAAGUCCAACAAUCGUUUAGUGGUAGCUCAGAGUCAGUGGUUUAAAUUCGAAAUCAAGAAGCUUUGAGCAGAGUUUUACCCUCUCUUGGUUAUCAUCAUUCAUGCAUUAUUAAGUAGAGUUUAGAUUUAAAAAAUGGCUCCUUUGAUCCUGGCAUGGAACAUGCAUGGAUGCUAGCAUUGCAAAAAGGUGAUGAAGGCAAUAGAAGGCCUUUUGUUUUUCACUUCCUAAGGUCCAAGUCAGUGUCUGGCAACAUUGUCGGUAAAUGGCCCGAAUGGUAUCCCCCUCCUUGGACAUAAUAAGAUAAAAUCACUGCUUGUCAUCUCGUCUUAUGCCAAUGCAUCGAACAUGGGUUUUUUUUAUAAGCAUGACAGAAAGGUUAUGAAGGCAAUAGAAGGUGUUCUCUUUUUCUUUUUGAUCCUUAGUCCAACAUCACCCGAUCAUAGCCCCUCCUAAGUCAUGGUAGAUAAAAUCACUACUUUGUUCUCUUGCUUACGCCAAUGCAUCGAACAUGUAUCGGUUUAGCAUUACAAAAAGGUGAUGAAGGCAAUAGAAGUUGCUUUGUUUUACGUAUUUGAUCCUAAGGUCCACUGCCUUUGGCUGGCAAAAUUGUUGGAAAAUGACCCGAUAGUAUUUCUUCCUCAGACAUCAUAGAGAAAAUCACUACUCCAUGGUCCCAGCCCGAUGCGAAUGCAUCAAACAUGCAUCAAUUUCAGCACUACAAAAAGGUGAUGAAGGUCCAAUGCAGGGGCAACAUUGUCGUCAAAUGACCUAAUAACAUCCUUCCUCUAAACAUUAUAAAUUGGAUUUAUGGGAUCACAUUGAAGUAUCAUAUUUUGCAUAUUGAGAAAAAUAAUAAAAGGCUCCUGUUUUUAAGUAGUAA